rnacentral:rRNA from 1 species
UAGUACGGCGAGUGAAGAGGGAAGAGCCCAAGAUUGAAAGCUGGCGUCUUCGGCGUCCGCAUUGUAAUCUCAAGAAGUGUUUUCCGCUUCGGACCAAGCCUAAGUCCCCUGGAAAGGGGCAUCAUAGAGGGUGAUAAUCCCGUACAUGGCUUGGAGCGCCCGAGGCUUUGUGAUACGCUUUCUAAGAGUCGAGUUGUUUGGGAAUGCAGCUCAAAAUGGGUGGUAAAUGCCAUCUAAGGCUAAAUAUUGGGGAGAGACCGAUAGCGAACAAGUACAGUGAUGGAAAGAUGAAAAGAACUUUGAAAAGAGAGUUAAACAGUACGUGAAAUUGCCAAAAGGGAAGGGUAGGAGGUCAGAGAUGCGGCCUGGGAUUCAGCCUUGCUUUUGCUUGGUGUUUUUCCCAGAUUGCAGGCCAACGUCGGUUUUGGGCACUGGAGAAGGGUAGGAGGAACGUGGCACCCCUCGGGGUGUGUUAUAGCCUCCUACUGGAUACAGCGACCGAGACCGAGGACAGCAGCGUACUCGCAAGAGCGGGCCUUCGGGCACCUUUACGCUUAGGGCGUUGGCAUAAUGGCCCUCUACCACCCGUCUUGAA